rnacentral:misc_RNA from 1 species
GAUGAAGAACGCAGCGAAAUGCGAUAAGUAGUGUGAAUUGCAGAAUUCAGUGAAUCAUCGAAUCUUUGAACGCACAUUGCGCCCUUUGGUAUUCCUUAGGGCAUGCCUGUUCGAGCGUCAUUUAAACCUUCAAGCUCAGCUUGGUGUUGGGUGACUGUCCGCCGCCCUCGGGCGCGUGGACUCGCCUCAAAAUUAUUGGCGGCCGGUACAUUGGCUUCGAGCGCAGCAGAAACGCGAACUCGAGCCCGUCGUAUUGGCUCCCAGAAGCUAUCUUCACAAUUUUGACCUCGGAUCAGGUAGGGAUACCCGCUGAACUUAAGCAUAUCAAUAAGCGGAGGA